UUCUCCCACGUUUCACAAUUUUCCACUAAAAGCAUCAUUUCCCAAGAGCAAACCCAUUGAUUUUCUGCAGAGGAUAUAAAGAUGGUUCCAUAAUUUGUUGUUCAUCCAAAAACCCUAGCCGUUUCACUAAUUUCUCAGAUAAUUUUCUUCCUUCAACCCUAAAACCCUGAUUUGAACUCUAUAAUUAAAUUAUGGAACGAAAUUGAUGCAGUUUCAUAUAUCUUUUUCUUGAUUCGUUGUUUGAAUUUGUAAAAGAAUGAAGGACAGAGACGAGGGAGAAGAAGAAGACGAUGAAGGGGAAGAGAAAGUGGAAGGGACUGGAUAUGAGGUUUUGUGUUGUUUUAUAUUUUAAAAUUAAUCUGCGUUAUUUAAAUGGAAUUUCACAGAAAUUUCACAGAUUUGGACGGGACCGAUGCGGAAUAGAAGUGGUAUUGGAAUUGUUAAUGAAAACCUCAAUCUUGGAUAUUAUAGUGUUCGAUUCUUCUCUAUCUCUAUCUCACAGGCUACCACCAUUCUUUUGAGCUUUAUGGAGAAGAUGUGCGAUUAUAGGUUUGUGAAGUGAUGAGGUCAGAACUGUUGCAGAUGAUUGUGCGAGCGAUGCUGAUGAAGAUGUGAUGUUGUGCUGAUGAAGAACGAUGUUGCGAAAUUGUUACGCGUCUGUUGAGGGAUUGGAGAUGAUGAUUGUAUGAAGUGCUGAAGAAUUUGUUGUGAUAUUAUGAUUUGUUUAAGGUAAAUUGGACGAAGGUUUUUAUAUGAAUUGGAGAAAACUUUAAAAUUAAUAUGGGAGCAUAACUCUGCAAUUUUUCCUCCCCUUUCUUGGCAUUGAUGCAGUUACUUAUAUAGGGAGAUGGAUAGAAAAUUUAUGUGUGAAAAGGGUGGGAAAUUCAUUUAGAAGCUGCACCAAAAUUUGUUGAAGUUUAAUUUAUUGAGUUUUCAAAAGCUAUCCGCGUGAACUAUUUUAUAACAUU